UUCACACUUUCCCUUGGAACACAUUUAUCUAUUACAUGUCUCAGAUGUUCAAGGGCUGAUCAACAAUCUGUGGGACUCCACCUAAUAUUUCUAUUCAGUAUUACACAGCUUCUUGUAUGGAUCUGGCCCAUACAGUAAGCUGUGCUACUUUGUAUUUUGCAUACGAAUAAAAAUCACGAAGAAUUACAUAUCACAGCUUAAAUAUCAAAGAUGACUGUCAAAUAAUUCAAACAGAAGGCUCUUUAUUGAAGUCACUUUACUGAACAACUUUGCAUUGGAAACCAAACAAGAGGAAGGAGAAUACUGAAUCAAAGCAAAGAGUCUUGCUCUUCAGUCGCACAUCUGCACAAGUGCUUCAAUGCACAGCUGGAUAACUAACUCCCAACUUUGGUGAAUUUGAAUUUGUUUCUCCACAAAAUGGAAACACAUACUCAUCUGCCUUAUUUCACAGAGGUAGAAUAUAUAAAGAUUUCUUCCAAGGAAUUUCAUCAAAAGACAUCAAAGUUAAAGCAGAUGGACCUUCAGGCACAAGACCCUCUUCUUCCUUGGGCUUCCCACUCCCUGGCCCAGCCUCAUCGUGCUGUUGGGGGAUGCCAGACCUCGUCAUACAGCUGACUGAAGUCUCACUGCUAAAUAUUGCUAAGAGCUGAUGUCCUCGUCAGAAAUCUACUGUCAUGGAUACAGUCAUCUAUUAUACUGAUUUCCAGUUUAAGAAACAUUUUGAUAUGUAAAGAAAACAGGGUGAGGUUUUCUUGUAAGAGAAAUAGCUAAACAAGGAACACUUCUGCCACAUCCAAAACAAAAUUUAGAAAACUAGACAAAAGCAAAGCAACUUAAAUGGAAACACCCUCUUUAAUAUUUGCUAAAAUCAGAAAUACUCUUGGAAAAAUGACUCCUAAGGCUAUCAUAACAGCC